UACGAAGGGGGCGAGCGUUGCUCGGAUUUACUGGGCGUAAAGGGCGCGUAGGCGGCAUGACAAGUCACUUGUGAAAUCUCUGGGCUUAACCCAGAACGGCCAAGUGAUACUGUCGCGCUAGAGUGCGGAAGGGGCAAUCGGAACUCUCGGUGUAGCGGUGAAAUGCGUAGAUAUCGAGAGGAACACCUGAGGUGAAGACGGGUUGCUGGGCCGACACUGACGCUGAGUGCGCGAAAGCCAGGGGAGCAAACGGG
rnacentral:rRNA from 1 species